GUGUCUCACGAGAUGGACUGGUGCUGAUGGGAAAAAGAUAUGCAACAACAAAGAUGAAGACAAAUGUAUAGUUGCUUAUACUUCAAGCCACUCUAUUUGAUCAUUGCUAUGUGGAAUCCAUUCAGCGCCAAGUUUAAGUGCUUCUGACAUGGACCAGCAAAGUAGAUCUC